AAAGCGUCUGUAGGUGGUUUAUUAAGUCUACUGUUAAAGAUCAGGGCUUAACCCUGAGUCGGCAGUAGAAACUAAUGAGCUUGAGUACGGUAGGGGCAGAGGGAAUUCCCGGUGUAGCGGUGAAAUGCGUAGAGAUCGGGAAGAACACCAAUGGCGAAAGCACUCUGCUGGGCCGAAACUGACACUCAGAGACGAAAGCUAGGGGAGCGAAUGGGAUUAGAUACCCUUGU
rnacentral:rRNA from 1 species